rnacentral:rRNA from 1 species
AGCGCCUCGUGAACUCAUCUUCGGGGGUAGAGCACUGUUUCGGCUAGGGGGUCAUCCCGACUUACCAACCCGAUGCAAACUACGAAUACCGAAGAAUGUUAUCACGGGAGACACACGGCGGGUGCUAACGUCCGUCGUGAAGAGGGAAACAACCCAGACCGCCAGCUAAGGUCCCAAAGUCAUGGUUAAGUGGGAAACGAUGUGGGAAGGCACAGACAGCCAGGAUGUUGGCUUAGAAGCAGCCAUCAUUUAAAGAAAGCGUAAUAGCUCACUGGUCGAGUCGGCCUGCGCGGAAGAUGUAACGGGGCUAAACCAUGCACCGAAGCUGCGGCAGCGACACUAUGUGUUGUUGGGUAGGGGAGCGUUCUGUAAGCCUGCGAAGGUGUGCUGUGAGGCAUGCUGGAGGUAUCAGAAGUGCGAAUGCUGACAUAAGUAACGAUAAAGCGGGUGAAAACCCCGCUCGCCGGAAGACCAAGGGUUCCUGUCCAACGUUAAUCGGGGCAGGGUGAGUCGACCCCUAAGGCGAGGCCGAAAGGCGUAGUCGAUGGGAAACAGG